UGGACUUGGGUGUUGCUGCUUGCCGUGGCUCACCUCAAAUGGUUCGUGCACCUCUUGGUUGGACAUAGUACGGCGUGAUAAGUGUCUUCGCCGGCGCCUCAGUAGAGGGUGGCCGAUCGGGAGCUCUGUGCUUCCAACCGUCCUCGGACAACGACUGACAACUUGACCUCAAAUCGAGUAGGACCACCCGCUGAACUUAA
rnacentral:misc_RNA from 1 species